UGAUCUGCUAACACCUGUAAUGACUACUGUAUUCAUUAAGAACAUGAUUACAGGGACAUCUCAGGUUGACUGUGCUGUCCUGAUUGGUGCUGCUGGUGUUGGUGAAUUUGAAGCUGGUAUCUCCAAGAAUGGGCAGACCAGUAAGCAUGCCCUCCUGGCUUACACACUGGGUGUGAAACAGCUAAUUGUUGGUGUUAACAAAAUGGAUUCCACUGAGCCACCCUACAGCCAGAAGAGAUACGAGGAAAUCAUUAAGGAAGUCAGCACUUACAUUAAGAAAAUUGGCUACAACCCCGACACAGUAGCAUUUCUGCCAAUUUCGGGUCGGAAUGAUGACAACAUGCUGGAGCCAAGUGCUAAUGUGCCUUGGUUCAAGGGAUGGAAAGUCACCUGUACAGAUGGCAAUGCCAGUGGAACCACACUGCUUGAGGCUCUGGACUACAUCCUACCACCAUCUCGUCCAACUGACAAGCCCUUGUGCCUGCCUCUCCAGGAUGUCCACAAAAUUGGUGGUAUUGGUACUGUGCCUGUUGGUCAAGUGAAGACUGGUGUUCUCAAACCCGGUAUGGUAGUCACCUUUGUUGCAGUCGAUAUUACAACUGAAAUAAAGUCUGUUGAAAGGCACCAGGAAGCUUUGAGUGAAAUAAAGCUUUGAGUGAAAUGAAAUAAAGCUUUAUUCCUGGGAACAAUGUGGGCUUCCAUGUCAAGAAUGUGUCUGUCAAGGAUGUUCGUUCUGGCAACAUUGCUGGUGACAGCAAAAAUGGCCCACCAAUGAAAGCAGCCGGCAUCACUGCUCAGGUGAUUAUCCUGAACCAUCCAGGGCAAAUCAGUGCUGGCUAUGCCCCUGUACUGGAUUGCCGCAUGGCUCACAUUGCAUGCAAGUUUGCUGAGCUGAAGGAAAAGACUGAUCACCUUUCUGGUAAGCAGCUGGAAGAUGGCUCUAAAUUCUUGAAGUCUGGUGAUGCUGCCAUCAUUGAUAUGGUUCCUGGCAACCUCGUGUGUAUUAAGAGCUUCUCAGACUAUCCUCCUCUGGGUCACUUUGCUGUUUGUGAUGUGAGACAGACAGUUGGUGUGGGUGUCAUCAAAGCAGUGAACCAGAAGGCUGCUGGAGCUGGCAAGGUCACCAAGUCUGCCCAGAAAGCUCAGAAGGCUAAAUGAAUAUUAUCCCUAAUACCUGACACCCCAGUCUUAAUCAGUGGUGGAAGAAGAGUCUCUGAAUUCUUUGUUUCAAUUGGCCAUUUAAGUUUAAUAGUAAAAGACUGAUUAAUGAUAA